rnacentral:rRNA from 1 species
UGAUGGAGUGAUUUGUCUGGUUAAUUUCGUUAACGAACGAGACCUUAACCUGCUAAAUAGUUACAUGUAACCUCGGUUACCUGGGCAACUUCUUAGAGGGACUUUGCGUGUCUAACGCAAGGAAGUUUGAGGCAAUAACA